GGAGUUGUAGCUGAGUGGUAGAGUGCUUGCCUCGCAUGCGUGAGGCCCUGGGUUCAGUCCCAGCACCA
rnacentral:tRNA from 1 species